UACGGAGGGGGCUAGCGUUAAUCGGAAUUACUGGGCGUAAAGCGUGCGCAGGCGGUUAUAUAAGACAGUUGUGAAAUCCCCGGGCUCAACCUGGGAAUUGCAUCUGUGACUGCAUCGCUAGAGUACGGUAGAGGGGGAUGGAAUUCCGCGUGUAGCAGUGAAAUGCGUAGAUAUGCGGAGGAACACCGAUGGCGAAGGCAAUCCCCUGGGCCUGCACUGACGCUCAUGCACGAAAGCGUGGGGAGCAAACAGG
rnacentral:rRNA from 1 species